UGUACCAGUAGCUCAAAUUAGAGCGCCGAUCUUGUAAGUCGGAGGCUGGGGGUUUGACUCCCCCCUCGUGCUC
rnacentral:tRNA from 1 species